UGAGUAACGCGUGGGCAACUUGCCUCAGACUGGGGGAUAACACAGGGAAACUUGUGCUAAUACCGCAUAACAUGGUUGAAGGACAUCCUUCGAUCAUCAAAGGAGUAAUCCGGUUUGAGAUGGGCCCGCGUCCGAUUAGCUAGUUGGCGGUGUAAUGGACCACCAAGGCGACGAUCGGUAGCCGAACUGAGAGGUUGAUCGGCCACAUUGGGACUGAGACACGGCCCAGACUCCUACGGGAGGCAGCAGUGGGGAAUAUUGCACAAUGGGGGAAACCCUGAUGCAGCAACGCCGCGUGAAGGAUGAAGGUUUUCGGAUUGUAAACUUCUUUGAUUGGGGACGAAUAAUGACGGUACCCAAAAAACAAGCCACGGCUAACUACGUGCCAGCAGCCGCGGUAAUACGUAGGUGGCAAGCGUUGACCGGAGUUACUGGGUGUAAAGGGCGUGUAGGCGGGAAGAUAAGUCAGAUGUGAAAUUCCAUGGCUCAACUGUGGCGCUGCAUCUGAAACUAUUUUUCUUGAGUGAUGGAGAGGAAAGUGGAAUUCCUAGUGUAGCGGUGAAAUGCGUAGAUAUUAGGAGGAACACCAGUGGCGAAGGCGACUUUCUGGACAUUAACUGACGCUGAUGCGCGAAAGCGUGGGGAGCAAACAGAUUAGAUACCCUGGUAGUCCACGCUGUAAACGAUGGAUACUAUGUGUAGGAGGUAUCGACCCCUUCUGUGCCGGAGUUAACAUAAUAAGUAUCCCAC
rnacentral:rRNA from 1 species